CAUUCCUAUUGACACUGGAAACCAUACCUCCUCCUUUGUACUGCUCCAAAUUAAGAUGAAAGAUUGCAGCUUGGAACAGGAACCCUGGGAGUAGUUCGCUUCUUUAUUUGCGGUCAUAACCUACUAACGUUACAAGUGAUGUAAAAGUUACAGUCAUGAGCAAUCCAUUGCAACUCUACUGCCAGCUUCUUUCAGGAAGGAUAUGUCUGUGGUGCCCAGCAAUACAAAUGGAAAACAAAAUAAAUGUGGAUACUCACGUUUAUGGUGUUUCUAAUGCAUUUCAUCUACCUUCCUGCUAGACACUGGUGUCAGCACUUUGUGAAGAUGAGUUUGAUCAAACAAGUGACGGGUUUGUACCCUUUAGAACCUUUUCCCCCGUUCUAAAAUCAAGGACCAAGGGCCAAAGCUCUGCCGACUGUUGCACAAGAGCUCAGACUUGGCUUUUGGCUACAGAAACGGACAACUCAAACAAGAUUAUAACAAAAUCAUGUAUAUUAGCACCAAGGGCACUCGGUUGAACCUGCAACCAUUGGCAUAGAGUUUGCUUCAUCAGUGCCACUGAGCUUCUCACACCCCAUUGGACUCCAAAGCAAUAUAGAAAGCUAUUCCCAUUUUCACAAUGAUUGUUUUACUUGAGAGUUUUGUCGCACUUUUCCCCAAGGCACUGUUUUCAUGGGAGGAGGCCUGGGUCCACAUAAGCCAGGCAACAACUGGAGGCAGGUUUUGUUUUAGGAGGCAGCCCACACUGUGAAGGAAUAGGCAAGUUUCCUGCAUUAAAACAAAAGGAUUGGAGCCUCCUCCCAUCCUCAUGCAUUUUAGAUGGCUGCAAGUCUGGGAAUUUGCAAAGAAAGAAGGAUUAAGUUUAUGCCCCUUUUUCAAAUGUGUACAUUCCACUGCAAAAGUUUAAUUUCACAUUGAGAAGGGACCAUCUGUCCCUCAAGUGAUUGCGUAACCUCUUCAAAACACACUCAGCUGUCAAAGAAUGUCUGUAAUAAAUGAUGCAUUUAAAUGAAGCAGGCAAAUAAUCCUAACAAAUGUUUCUUACCUAUUACA